rnacentral:rRNA from 1 species
GACGAACGCUGGCGGCAUGCUUAACACAUGCAAGUCGAACGGAACCUUCCUGCUUUUUUGCGCUCCUCUACUUGCCACCUGGUGACUUACCCUUAAGUUCCCUGUCCUUCCCCUUGAGAUAUCUUCAUACCACUUGAUCUCUUCCCGCCUAAGAUCUCUCGCUUUUUGGUGGGCCUUCGUUAGUUUCGGCGGUUGGUGAUGUACUCGCCGCUUAUCAGCUUGUUGGUGGGGUAGUGGCUUACCAAGGAUUUGCCGGGUAGCAGGCCUGAGAGGGUGACCGGCCACAGUGGGACUGAGAUACGGCCAAGACUGCUACGGGAGGAAGAAGUGGGGAAGAUUGAAAAAUGGGCGGAAGCCUGAUGCAGCAACGCCGCGUGCGGGAUGAAGGCCUUCGGGUUGUAAACCGCUUUCGCCUGUGACGAAGCGUGAGUGACGGUAAUGGGUAAAGAAGCACCGGCUAACUACGUG